AAAACGGCUCUUGUCAGAGCCACAAAUUUUACGAGGAAUAUCUCU
rfam:Dufourea novaeangliae contig2680, whole genome shotgun sequence.